rnacentral:rRNA from 1 species
AACGAACGCUGGCGGCAGGCUUAACACAUGCAAGUCGAACGCCCCGCAAGGGGAGUGGCAGACGGGUGAGUAACGCGUGGGAAUCUACCCAUCCCUACGGAACAACUCCGGGAAACUGGAGCUAAUACCGUAUACGCCCUUAGGGGGAAAGAUUUAUCGGGGAUGGAUGAGCCCGCGUUGGAUUAGCUAGUUGGUGGGGUAAAGGCCUUCCAAGGCGACGAUCCAUAGCGGGUCUGAGAGGAUGAUCAGCCACAUUGGGACUGAGAAACGGCCAAAACGCAAACGGGAGGCAGCAGUGGGGAAUAUUGGACAAUGGGCGCAAGCCUGAACCAGCCAUGCCGCGUGAGUGAUGAAGGCCUUAGGGUUGUAAAGCUCUUUCACCGAUGAAGAUAAUGACGGUAGUCGGAGAAGAAGCCCCGGCUAACUUCGUGCCAGCAGCCGCAGUAA